UCUCCCCCCAAACAAAAACCCAAUUACUUUUAGUUUCCCUCUAACACAAAAACACAUACAGACAGACGCUAAAAACACACACACAGACGGACGCUCUCUCUCGACUCUCUCUCGAGCUCUCUCUCUCGGCUCUCUCUCUAGCUCUUCACGAAGAACAAAUCGAAGAAUUGGUAUUUGAAUACGCAUUUUUGUGGAUUCAAUUAAAAGGCUGUUAUUGUUUAUUUUAUGAUUUUGCAGGUGAUUAGAGCUUUAAAUUGUUGCUUCAACUCAUUUUCUUCGAUUAAUUGGUGGUGAUUAGGGUUCCAAAUUUGGGGCUUCUAGUGUAGAGCUGUCAUUAAGGGUACAACGAUAUUAAGUCACUAUAGGAGAGCUUUGGUGCAUCCAUUCGGGUUCUUUCAAAUGACAUUACAAGAACGCUAGGAUGAAUUUUGGUUUUUGCAAUUUUUUUAUAACGGAAAAUAAUUGGCUUCGUCCACCAAAGAUCAGAUUGCUCUUCUAUGGGAGGCAUUUCACACUUGAACCUAUAUAAUUUACUGCACAAAGUGGACAGCCCUAAACUACUCUGCAAGCUAAAGAGGGGGAUUUCUCCAAGGACAGUAAAAGACUUGAAGGUAAAUAGUGGUGGCAGAAUUUUAGAGAACAUUUGAUGGCUGUACUUCUCAAGGUAGAGGAGAUCAAGAAUGGAAGACUUGCAGCAUUGUUUGUGAUGCUCGGAUUAUUUAUGCCUUGUUAAGUGUUGGCAUUUAGUAGUAGGGAUGUAUAUUUUGGAUGUUGAUAUUGGAAUGUAAGGAAAUCUCUGUAUUCAAACCGUACCUUUCAAUUUGAUAAUUUAAAAAUUAUUGCUGUA